GCUGGGCAUGGUGGUACAUGCCUGUAGUCCCAGCUACUGGGGAGGCUGAGGUGGGGGAAUUGCUUGAGCCCGGGAAGUUGAGGCUGCAGUGAGCCAUGAUUGCACCAUUGCACUCCAGCCUGGGCAAAAAAGCGAGACUCUGUCUCAA
rnacentral:SRP_RNA from 1 species